rnacentral:rRNA from 1 species
UACGGGGGGAGCAAGCGUUGUUCGGAUUUACUGGGCGUAAAGGGCGCGUAGGCGGCGUGACAAGUCACUUGUGAAAUCUCCGGGCUUAACCCGGAGCGGUCAAGUGAUACUGUCGUGCUAGAGUGCGGAAGGGGCUACUGGAAUUCUCGGUGUAGCGGUGAAAUGCGUAGAUAUCGAGAGGAACACCUGCGGCGAAGGCGGGUAGCUGGGCCGACACUGACGCUGAUGCGCGAAAGCGUGGGGAGCAAACAGG